rnacentral:lncRNA from 1 species
AUGCUCAUCUUUAGUCAAACUAUCUUUAAUUAUCCAUGAAGAUACCUGAUACUUCAAUGUUACUUACGCAGGGCAACAUUAAAAUGAUUUGAACAGAAGGGAUUACUAUCUCAAGCUGUAAAUAACCUGUAGCUAGAACAUGGAUUUACUUAUUGUCCUCUCUGUGUGUGGAAAUGGAGUCGGCGGGAAGAAUUAGAUCUUAGGGCUCCACUG